rnacentral:rRNA from 1 species
UUGGAGGGCAAGUCUGGUGCCAGCAGCCGCGGUAAUUCCAGCUCCAAUAGCGUAUAUUAAAGUUGUUGCAGUUAAAAAGCUCGUAGUUGAAUUUCGGAAUCCAUCCGUCGGUCGGGCCUCACGGUCCGCACUGGUGUGAUGGAUUCCUACCUUCUGAAUAACCAGCAUGCCAUUAAUUUGGUGCGUUGGGGAAGCAGGACUGUUACCUUGAAAAAAUUAGAGUGCUUAAAGCAGGCUAGUGCCUGAAUACAUUAGCAUGGAAUAAUGAAAUAGGACGGCAUGGUUCUAUUUUGUUGGUUUCUAGGAUCACCGUAAUGAUUAAUAGGGAUAGUUGGGGGCAUUAGUAUUCAAUUGUCAGAGGUGAAAUUCUUGGAUUUAUUGAAGACUAACUUCUGCGAAAGCAUUUGCCAAGGAUGUUUUCAUUAAUCAAGAACGAAAGUUAGGGGAUCGAAGACGAUCAGAUACCGUCGUAGUCUUAACCAUAAACUAUGCCGACUAGGGAUCGGACGAUGUUAAUUUUUCAAUGACUCGUUCGGCGCCUUACGGGAAAC